CCGGCCUCAUUGGGUGCGUGAGAAGGGAAGGGUGGAUCCUAAAAGGUAAUACUGAGCCUUCAUUCAAACUAAAAGGCUGGAAGGGAGGCAGCUGCCUUUGUUUGCCAUGGAUGGGUAGGGGCUGCACUGAGCAGCACCGGUGUUCUUCAUCCGGCUGCACCCCCAACAGAGCUCUUUCUUCCCCAGAUCCCUUUUACAGUUGGAUUCUCCCUCUUGGAUCUGGCUCUGCCUUAGUCCGACCUAGAGGGAUCAGCUUCGCCCACGCCCACUCUCACCCGGAACCUUUCAUCUCUUAUUGAAGCCUUUUAGGCCCAUUGGGAUGUUCAUUAGAACUCUGAAAACUACAGUUCUCCCCUUUAUGAGGACUGCACCACAGCUCGCCCUCUCCUGGGUUCCGGUAAGAAGAGAUUCCAAUACCACUCUUUUUUCAGAAUUCAGAAAGGCAAGAGACCACCUUACUGAGCUUCAAACUGGGGCUGGGAACGCUGCCAUGAAUUGGGCUUGGUCUGUCUGAAGGGAGCCACCUUUUCGACAAUCCUUAGACUUCUUUUGCCUGUUGGAAUUACACCUUGGAUCGUGGCGAAGUCUAUAGAGGUCAGAUUAAGAAGAACCAAAGCAGAAUAAACGUAGAACCCGAUGCUGAGUUCACGAGUGAGGACGACCUCUUCCUAUAUGCUUUGCUAUACCCUGCGUUUUGAACAUUAAGGACGAGAUAGGAGGCCCAUAAUGUUUCUUCUUGCUUUAAUCCUGUCGUGGCAACGUUGACUUCCACCUGGUUGCAGAGUGAGCCCAUGGGACAGCCCUCUGAAAUUAUACUGCUUACAACCAUGCUGAGUCUGCAAGGACUUCGUCCAAGCCUUUCCGUCCAGGACCUCAAACAGAUCCAAUCACAAGAAGAGAGAUUUCAGGAAAGAGAAAAUUAUUCCUAUCAUCGGGGUUUUUGAAGAACAUGAAAUGACUGGGAA
rnacentral:lncRNA from 1 species